rnacentral:rRNA from 1 species
GACGAACGUUGGCGGCGUGCCUAACACAUGCAAGUCGAACGCGUCCUAAGGGCAACUUUAGGAUGAGUGGCGAACGGGUGAGUAUCACGUGGGUAAUCUUCCUUCAAGUGGGGAAUAAGCUCUCGAAAGGGAGUCUAAUACCGCAUGACAUUCCGGGACACAAGUCCCGUAAUCAAAGCCGCAAGGCGCUUGAAGAUGAGCCUGCGUCCUAUUAGCUAGUUGGUGGGGUAACGGCCUACCAAGGCUUAGAUGGGUAGCCGGCCUGAGAGGGUGAACGGCCACACUGGGACUGAGACACGGCCCAGACUCCUACGGGAGGCAGCAGUGAGGAAUUUUGCGCAAUGGGGGAAACCCUGACGCAGCGACGCCGCGUGGAGGAUGAAGGCCUUCGGGUCGUAAACUCCUGUCAGAGGUGAAGAAUACCGCAAGGUUGACGGUAACCUCAGAGGAAGCCCGGCUAACUACGUG